rnacentral:ncRNA from 2 species
AGCCCCUCCCUCCCAACCCUACAUACUUCUUCAUAUGCCCAUAGGGAGUCAGCCGGCGUUAUGGAAUGUUAAGAAGUAUGUAUCCUUGGGCUGGGGUCC